rnacentral:rRNA from 1 species
AGCGAACGCUGGCGGCAGGCCUAACACAUGCAAGUCGAACGAACCCUUCCGGGUUAGUGGCGGACGGGUGCGUAACACGCGGGAACGUGCCUUUAGGUUCGGAAUAACUCCGGGAAACUUGUGCUAAUACCGAAUGUGCCCUUCGGGGGAAAGAUUUAUCGCCUUUAGAGCGGCCCGCGUCUGAUUAGCUAGUUGGUGGGGUAAUGGCUCACCAAGGCUACGAUCAGUAGCUGGUCUGAGAGGAUGACCAACCACAUUGGGACUGAGACACGGCACAAACUCCUACGGGAGGCAGCAGUGGGGAAUCUUGCGCGAUGGGCGAAAGCCUGACGCAGCCAUGCCGCGUGGAUGAUGAAGGUCUUAGGAUUGUAAAAUCCUUUCACCGGUGAAGAUAAUGACUGUAGCCGGAGAAGAAGCCCCGGCUAACUUCGUGCCAGCAGCCGCGGUAACAC